rnacentral:lncRNA from 1 species
CCUGGUACCUUUGAAAACUAUAAGAAUGUCCAAAUGUUCUAUUGUGUUGUUUGUGUAUUGCUCUUUCACGAAUGUUCUUGAUUUGUACUGAAGUCCUGUCAUAUAAUGUUGUCAUUUAAGUGUUAUUUUUGACAUUGCCAUAAAAUGGCAAGGUUUGACUAACCGUAAAACCAGGUUCAACCCACCAUUUUUCUUUAAAAUGUCC